rnacentral:misc_RNA from 1 species
GAUGAAGAACGUAGCGAAAUGCGAUAAGUAAUGUGAAUUGCAGAAUUCAGUGAAUCAUCGAAUCUUUGAACGCACAUUGCGCCCCUUGGUAUUCCGGGGGGCAUGCCUGUUCGAGCGUCAUUAUCACCCCUCAAGCUCAGCUUGGUGUUGGGGCCGGCCCGUCACAGGGCCGCCCCUAAAAGCAGUGGCGGUGCCAUCUGGCUCUACGCGUAGUAAUACUCCUCGCGACAGAGUCCCGGUGGUCUCCUGCCAGAACCCCCCAUUUUUUAAUGAUUGACCUCGGAUCAGGUAGGGAUACCCGCUGAGCUUAAGCAUAUCAAUAAGCGGAGGA